rnacentral:rRNA from 1 species
CCUAAUACCGCAUAACGUCGCAAGACCAAAGAGGGGGACCUUCGGGCCUCUUGCCAUCGGAUGUGCCCAGAUGGGAUUAGCUAGUGGGUGGGGUAACGGCUCACCUAGGCGACGAUCCCUAGCUGGUCUGAGAGGAUGACCAGCCACACUGGAACUGAGACACGGUCCAGACUCCUACGGGAGGCAGCAGUGGGGAAUAUUGCACAAUGGGCGCAAGCCUGAUGCAGCCAUGCCGCGUGUAUGAAGAAGGCCUUCGGGUUGUAAAGUACUUUCAGCGGGGAGGAAGGGAGUAAAGUUAAUACCUUUGCUCAUUGACGUUACCCGCAGAAGAAGCACCGGCUAACUCCGUGCCAGCAGCCGCGGUAAUACGAAGGGUGCAAGCGUUAAUCGGAAUUACUGGGCGUAAAGCGCACGCAGGCGGUUUGUUAAGUCAGAUGUGAAAUCCCCGGGCUCAACCUGGGAACUGCAUCUGAUACUGGCAAGCUUGAGUCUCGUAGAGGGGGGUAGAAUUCCAGGUGUAGCGGUGAAAUG